rnacentral:rRNA from 1 species
UACGUAGGGGGCUAGCGUUGUCCGGAAUCAUUGGGCGUAAAGCGCGUGUAGGCGGCCCGGUAAGUCCGCUGUGAAAGUCGGGGGCUCAACCCUCGGAUGCCGGUGGAUACUGUCGGGCUCGAGUACGGAAGAGGCGAGUGGAAUUCCUGGUGUAGCGGUGAAAUGCGCAGAUAUCAGGAGGAACACCGAUUGCGAAGGCAGCUCGCUGGGACGUGACUGACGCUGAGACGCGAAAGCGCGGGGAGCAAACAGG